CUUUCUCUGGUUUGUGUCUUUGUCCUGCGUGCCUGAUAGUUAUUAAAUUUCAGUUUCAGAUUCCACAGAAUAUGAUGUGAUGCUAAAAUCAGGUAAUUAUGCUUCAAUCUCAACUGUUACCACUUUGGAGGAAAAAAUCCUGUAACAGAAAAAUGGCAGUUUCCCAGUUAAUCUUAUACCUGUAGGGCCUACAAACCAAACCAGACUAGGGAUCUCCCUGGCCUGUGUUCCAGAUAAAGUCUGGGAUGAAAAUACCUUAUAGCUUUUAUUCUGAUGUUCUGACUAGAAUGGUUGAAAUUUAAUAGUACCUGCUGAAUUGCAAUGAGCUGUGGCUCCUUUUCUUGGUAUCUUUUAAAAACCACUAUACAAAAUUAUAUGUAAUUUAUUUGCCUUGGGACUAGAUAAUUUGGGUUAUUCAUAGUUAGUGAUCAAUCCUAUACUGUAGAGCUUUAAUUUCCUUUGCCUGGUUUCUCCAUAUCAGGCACACCUCAAAAUUGACUUCAUAUACUUGGUGUUCUGGUUGCACAGAGGGGGUGAAGAGAAAACGGCAAAGGAAGCAGUAGGUUUCAGGCAGAGGUGGUAGCAGUUGCAGCCAAGUGCCCUCCUGCUCGCCGAGUGUGCGAUGAGCCGGUGGUGAUGAGGAGGGGUUGGGCUUCCUUGGCCAGAGCAGGAGGUGGUGAUGCAUCCUGGUAGGGAAAAGGGGACGGAGCUGGAAGGUAAGGGGAAAAAGAGACUAGAGCGGUCAAGAAGUGUGGGUAGGCAAUUGUUGCCACCUCUUCUGAAAUUUUACCCAACGACUUAAUUUAUCUUUCAACUUAACAGUUUUUCAGUCACUGAUCUAGCUUCUUUUGUAUAGCAGUAUCCUUUGACCUGUAUGCCAAGCCAGGUAACAACAGGACUCUAACUCUGAUGAAUCCCAAAAAGUCUUUUUACCAAUGGAGGCUGCGAGUUCCUUCUAACUGUGUGGUGAGACUGGUAGUUAUCACUUUGCAUGGUGUCACUCCAGAGAGCUGUGCAUCACACCACUUAUCAGCAUAUGAUUUCCUUCUUCCUCUGCAGAACAAGAUCAUUACAAGAUGGUGUGGACCUGGGGCCUGGACUCCUCCUGUUGUACGUUUAACUUCAUCAAGUAAUGUCAUGUUGCUCACCUUCUCACUGGACCGAAGAGAAGAAAGCAACAUAUUAAAAGCUCACUUUCAAGCUGUUCCUAAAAUCAGUAAGUAAUUAACAGAAACAAGCAUCCGAUGUAAGCACACUUACUCCUGCUGUUGCCUUUAAAAAAGUUGAUAUUGCCUGGAUGUAUCUGGGGGGAAGGAAUGUUGGCAUAUAAGUCAGGGAAUUGUCAUUCUGAUCCACAUUUAAAAAAACAACAAAAAACCAAAAAAAACCAAGUCCGAGAACUGAACAAAGAAUAAGGGAAUAUUCUUUGGUCUGGGAGACUUGUCUUCCUGAUUACUACCCAAGGCAUACUUCCCAGCCAUUACUCUUACUACCUGGAUAACACUGAGCAAUGGUAGCAGAGCAGUCAGCAUAAAUGUCUCCAAAGCUUAAACGUUUCGCUUUAUGUCUCUGAGGAUGCUUCUUAGGCAAAUACUCAUCCUGUGCAUGUUACAAAUUAGAAUUGCUUCAUUGCUCUGAAGAUGGGCAUUCCAAAUGAGGUAUAGCCCAGGUUUUGCUACAAAAUAGUGCUGUUUUCAAAAUUGUCUUAAUUUCUGUUAUAUUCAUGUCUGCAUUUACUAUGUUAUCUAAAGGGAACCAAAAGCACUAAGGACUGGAUAUCUAGAAGAAUUCUUGGUGGAAAAUAAAACCUCAAAGAGAUUGUUCAAAUGUGGCAUGAAUUUUCAGACUGAGAACUGACACGCUUCCUGGUUUACAUGAAAUUAAUCAGAGGUUUCACUCCAUUGGGCUGAUUGCUUUUUUAACUUUUGA
rnacentral:lncRNA from 1 species